rnacentral:rRNA from 1 species
AUUGAACGCUGGCGGAAUGCUUUACACAUGCAAGUCGAACGGUAGAGGGGGCAACCCCUCGAGAGUGGCGAACGGGUGAGUAAUAUAUCGGAACGUGCCCAGUCGUGGGGGAUAACGUAGCGAAAGUUACGCUAAUACCGCAUACGAUCUAAGGAUGAAAGCGGGGGAUCGCAAGACCUCGCGCGAUUGGAGCGGCCGAUAGCAGAUUAGGUAGUUGGUGGGGUAAAGGCUCACCAAGCAAACGAUCUGUAGCUGGUCUGAGAGGACGACCAGCCACACUGGAACUGGGACACGGUCCAGACUCCUACAGGAGGCAGCAGUGGGGAAUUUUGGACAAUGGACGCAAGUCUGAUCCAGCCAUUCCGCGUGCAGGAUGAAGGCCCUCGGGCUGUAAACUGCUUUUGUACGGAACGAAAAGGUCUCUCUUAAUACGGGGGGCUCAUGACGGUACCGUAAGAAUAAGCACCGGCUAACUACGUGCCAGCCGCCGCGGUAA